UACGAAGGGGGCGAGCGUUGCUCGGAAUUAUUGGGCGUAAAGCGCGCGCAGGCGGUCAUUUAAGUCUGGUGUUUAAGGCCAAGGCUCAACCUUGGUUCGCACUGGAAACUGGGUGACUUGAGUGCAGAAGAGGAGAGUGGAAUUCCACGUGUAGCGGUGAAAUGCGUAGAUAUGUGGAGGAACACCAGUGGCGAAGGCGACUCUCUGGGCUGUAACUGACGCUGAGGCGCGAAAGCGUGGGGGAGCGAACAGG
rnacentral:rRNA from 1 species